AAAAAAAAAAAAAAAAAAAGGUUUGAAUUUUACCGUUUCUUCUAGACGACAGUUAUUUAUUAUAUGGAUCUGUAAAAUCACGUUCGGAAUUACCUUUUUUUUUCGGCCGAAAUUUGUACAGAAUUUUCGUUAAAUCACUGUUUUAUAAUAAGUACUUUCGAGCGAAUAAUUGGGUUUGGAAAAUACGCGAACAAUAUCAUAGUUUCCUUUGUCGCGGAACGUCGCCAAAACGCGAAUUUCGCUGAAAACUGCCCGAUCCGUUUAGUUUUUGCGUGAAUCGCGUUAAUAUUUUCGUCUUAUUUUUUUUAUUUCGCCGAUUCUCCAAAUGCGCGAACAUUACGUUCCGCACACAUUGCAAUCGUUUGCUUAUUUAUGCGCUUCGUCGACGAAAACAAUAUUCCGUUGUACACGAGCGGAACUAGCCGGAGAAUAUUGUACGGCCAGAGACUCGAUGAAGAAAAAAUUCAAGACUUUUAAAUCGUAUUAUCGUAUUAUGCUUAUAGAGAUGAUAAUAAUAUUGUUAUUGUUAUUAUUAUCGCGGCUCUCGUGAGGGUCAACUCCACGGCGUAAUGUGUGGCGGCGGCACCAACUAUCGUGUGUCAACAGGUUUUUUUUUUUUUUUUAACUACCUGUUUACCAGCAACCGCGAGUCUUAUGAACAGUGUUCAUUGUGCUGGAGGUGUACACAAUAUACGUUAUUAUUAUUAUUAGAUAUUGUUUCGAAUGUCUACUGUACGGGAUGAUUUUUUUUACCGGUCGAAUAAAUAGACAAAAAAAAAAAGAAUUCAGAAUAUACAGAGUGUAUUUUCUAUAAGAAAUUGUCCAAUCGUGCACGGAUACACCCUGUAUUAUGUACAUUCGUUUUCUCUCUCCCUCUCGCUUUCUCUCCGUUACAUACUUCUCAGUUUCGUUAAAUCAUUACCAUUAUCUUUUUAUUGCGUUUUUACCUCAGAAGCGAAUAAUUGCUGUGCGCCGGCAAUAAUAAAUCCGCCAUCAUCAUAAAUAUCUAUUAUUUACGGUACUGGAAACCGCCGCUUAUUGCGACUCUCUCUCACGAGGGCUUAGUCCUUUUUUUAUUUUAUGACCGCCACAUUUUACUUGUAUACCUAUUUAUAUUAUUUUUCUCUAAUAACGCCCGACCCGGAGACGUGAAUUUCGGUUAUCGUCGAAUACUCGCGCACGCGUAAUGAGAUUGAAAACAAUGUGAAUUUUUUUUUUUUUUUUUUAAAUAUUUUAUUACUACUAAAAUCCUGAUUAUAAUGAUUAUUGUACUUUAUUUAUUGUUGUAUAUUAUAUAUAAACGAAAUAGUGAUUGCUGUCUUCAAAUACCCCUGACUACAAGAUACAUAUACCGCAAGACUGGACACAAGGUCGGACGAGAACAUCAUUUAUAGAUGAAAACGAACGUCUCGACUCAGUGGCAUACCCAGGAUAUUUAAUUUGCGGGGGAGAGCGCUAAAUAAGUUUUUGUUUAGAUAAGAGAAGUUUCGAUCCACCCUACAAUGUACAAAAGUGUGUUCAUAAGUAUGCAUUUCAAUGUAAUGCUUAAAACAAAAAACAAAAAAAAAAAACUUUCAGCUUCUAAAUACGGGGAAAAAAUAACGUUAAACUAAUGGAACACGGUUAUGAUUUUUUGAUUUUGACUUUUCAAUUGACUAAGAGGAAAUAAUCGAAUAAUAAAACAAUGAAGGGAAAUCGCGGAAAUUAAAACCCGUGUAUUUUGCCACAGUCUUCGCUGUAUCCCGGGGCCGCCUGUCGCUUUUUUUUUGGCCUUUUAUCCUUCUAGCCUUAUUUUCCGUCCGAUCGAUAAAAAUUAUUAAAUUUUUUAAUAUAGUCGGGUAAAAAAAAAAAAGGGAAAAAAGGAUAAAAACGUUACCUGGUUUAUUUCCAUUGCAAUAGUAUUAUAACGGUUGCAUCGGCCCACGUGUUUUUGACACACAAAACAGAUACAAUAUAUAUAU